rnacentral:rRNA from 1 species
UACGUAGGGGGCUAGCGUUGUCCGGAAUCAUUGGGCGUAAAGCGCGUGUAGGCGGUCCGGUAAGUCCGCUGUGAAAGUCGGGGGCUCAACCCUCGGAUGCCGGUGGAUACUGUCGGGCUUGAGUACGGAAGAGGCGAGUGGAAUUCCUGGUGUAGCGGUGAAAUGCGCAGAGUAUCAGGAAGAACACCAAUGGCGAAAGCAGCUCUCUGGGACGGUACUGACGCUGAGGCACGAAAGCGUGGGGAGCGAACAGG